rnacentral:rRNA from 1 species
GCUUUUAAAGUUAGCGCGCGAGACGGGUGAGUAACACGUGGGCAACCUGCCUGUAAGACUGGGAUAACUUCGGGAAACCGGAGCUAAUACCGGAUAAUUCUUUCCCUCUCAUGGUGAAAAGCUGAAAGACGGCAUCUCGCUGUCACUUACAAAUGGGCCCGCGGCGCAUUACCUAGUUGGUGAGGUAACGGCUCACCAAGGCAACGAUGCGUACCCAACCUGAAAGGGUGAUCGGCCACACUGGAACUGAAACACGGCCCAAACUCCUACGGGAGGCAGCAGUAGGGAAUCUUCCGCAAUGGACAAAAGUCUGACGGACCAACGCCGCGUGAGUGAUGAAGGUUUUCGGAUCGUAAAGCUCUGUUGUUAGGGAAAAACAAGUACAAGAGUAACUGCUUGUACCUUGACGGUACCUAACCAAAAAGCCACGGCUAACUACGUGCCAGCAGCCGCGGUAAUACGUAGGUGGCAAGCGUUGUCCGGAAUUAUGGGGCGUAAAGCGCGCGCAGGCGGUCCUUUAAGUCUGAUGUGAAAGCCCACGGCUCACCCGUG